rnacentral:lncRNA from 1 species
AAAGGAAGGAAGGAACCCAAAUGAGUGCUAGGUUGAAAAGAAUAUUCCCCCCUCUUUCUGCUUCCAGGUGGGAUGAUUUUGUAGAUUAAUAAUCCUGGCUACUUUCUGAUCUCACUCUUUGCCCCCUAACGUAGUAGAACAAAAUCCGACUGAGGAGUUUGGGAGAAGUAACUGGGCAUGCGUUUGCCUCCCUUCUUUCUCCUUUGGAUCCUCCUACUGAAAGAAGUGCUCUCCCCUGGCUGAAAGAGAGAAACAGAAUAAGCCAGGACAUGGGAUGGACAGAUACAAGAAGAUGCCAAAGGCAGCCUAAUAAUUUGGUCCUUCUAGUUGUGGGAUGUGGGACGCCGCCUCAACGUGGCCUGACGAGCGGUGCCAUGUCCGCGCCCAGGAUCCGAACCCUGGGCCACUGCAGUGGAGAGCCCGAACUUAACCACUCGGCCACGGAGCCGGCCCCGCUAAGAAAAUUUUUAUGCCCCUUCCUUUAUGUCCAAAAUUACAAGCAUUGCACCAAAUGUAACUUUAACUUUUUAACUUGGUUUAUCUUUCAUUUCUAGAUUUUAUGGCAGUCAUGACUGGAUAGAUUCAGUCACUCAGAUACUAAGGAUAGAAGCAAUUUACAUAGGAAUACUUGCUAAGUCUUAUUCAAAAUGUUCUGAAGAUUCUCUCUUUUCUGGCUUGUAUGUAGGCAAAGUAUUUCCCACUUUUUGGUUAUUCCUACUCUAUCUUCAUUUUUCUUUUGGAAUUUUUUGAACCACACAACUUUUUAGAGUCACACUACAGAGUUUACACUAUAGAUAGUAGUAAAUCACUCAUUUGCAGCAAAAGGCAUUACGCAAUAUUGGCUGGGACUGCCAACUUCAGAUUACUGUA